UUGUUUUGGGUCUUAUUCACAUUGAGAGCUCUACACUUCACCUUACAAACCACUCGUUGAUUAUUUGCUUUCUUCCUGGUAGUAAUUUACCAAAUCCCAGGUAUUAUUAUCAAAGCCUCAACUUCCUCAUUCCUUGCAUUGUGCCACUCGGGACAAAAGACCACCUUUUCCUAACUGGAUAUUUAAGAAAUAGAGAUUCCCAAGUAGAAAAAGACAUACUGUAUGGUUUCUUUGAUAUGAUUGAUGACUUGGUGUAACGUUUCUUCUCUCAUUUGCCUGCUGGAACAGACAGAUACAUUUUAUAUAACAAAAUCUUUUCCCUGGCAGAUAUUAUUAUCACUCCGACAAUUGGGAAAAGGCUUCCAUAGGGACUGAAAUAGUCUGUCAUUCUUAAGAAGGCACUAUAAGAAAUAUGCCUAGUGAAGAAACAAGUGUACAGAUGAAACUUCCAACAAUGUGGUACCAAGCAGAAAUUCUCAAUUGGUCAUAAUUGGAAACAUAGUUGACAACUUUGAAGUCAAGUUUACCAGCCUUGCAGGAUCCAAGUUACGGGGUUUUUUGUGCAAUCAAUUUGGCCGGUGUUCACUGUGCAAGCAUCAUAGAGAG